GAAAUGCGAUAAGUAAUGUGAAUUGCAGAAUUCAGUGAAUCAUCGAAUCUUUGAACGCACCUUGCGCUCCUUGGUAUUCCUUGGAGCAUGCCUGUUUGAGUAUCAUGAAAUCUUCAAAGUAAAUCUUUUGUUAACUCAAUUGGUUUCUACUUUGGUAUUGGAGGUCUUUGCAGCUUCACACCUGCUCCUCUUUGUUCAUUAGCUGGAUCUCAGUGUUAUGCUUGGUUCCACUCGGCGUGAUAACUUAUCUAUCGCUGAGGACACUGUAAAAGGUGGCCAAGGUAAAUGCAGAUGAACCGCUUCUAAUAGUCCAUUGACUUGGACAAUACUUUUAUGAUCUGAUCUCAAAUCAGGUAGGACUACCCGCUGAACUUAAGC
rnacentral:misc_RNA from 1 species